CCUCCCCCUGAAAAAAAUCAGAGCUAAGCUGAUGAAUAAUGAUGAAAUAAUAAUAUACCCCCCCUCCCCCCCGAAAAAACAUAGCUGUGCCGAGCAAUGUUUAUUAAAUAAAUAAUCAUGACUUUGGGUAGUAUUUUUUUCUUAAAUUAAGUUAAAAUAAAUGCACCAGUUGCAACUUACUUGUAAAAAUGUAUCUUAUAUGUAUGUGUACUUAUAUUCUGUAAAAUUUCCUUUAAUAUGACAAGUGCGAUAAUGUACAUUUUGAACGACGUGCAUGGAUCCUUCAUUCAUAAUAAUAUUAUUCUUACUUCUUUAGAAUCUCUCAGUUUUCCAACAUGCUUAUGUCAUUAGUAAUAGUACUAAUACUAAUAGACAGCAUAAGUAUUGACAAUUGACAUGUCUUCAUUCUAUAACCUGUUUUUCUAUAUUUUUGCAAGUCCAGCAGUUUUACUCUGGUCAUUUCUUCAAUGUGACAACAUCACAUCGUAUACAAAUUUCAUAUUCCGUUUCCAUGUUUUAUGAUAUGCAGAUGUCACAUGCUUGAAUGUCAUAUGCUUAUAUUCUUUAUUCUGAACAUACUGUACAAAUACACAUAUGGUUCUUGUAUCAGCCAUUCACAUGAUUUAGCCUAUACUUUAAGUCUGUAAUAGUUUCAUAAAUCUACAAUAUAGACAACCUCCCUCAUUCUGUGUUGAAUCAUAUUCGCAUGUGUACACAUCUUUGGGUUUUUUAAAGUUCAUGCUGUUCCCCUGAAUUUUUUUCUCAAAAAUGUUUCAGUUUAUUGCCCGACAUGACUGAACAGAUGUUUCGGACAUGAUUUCUAUCAGGAGUAACGAAAACCAGCGUAGGAGGAAGGCGGUGGCGAUGGAUUGGACAUACUCUCAGGAAGUCAGGCAGUUGUAUAACAAAGAAAGUUUUGGAUAUGAAUCCACAGGGUAAGAAAUCAAGGGGAAGACCGCGUGGAACCUAUAGAAGAAUCACAGAAAUCGAUGUACAGAAAAGUGGGAAGACAUGGAAUAACAUCAAGAGGCUAGCUCAUGAUAGAAAAAGGUGGAAAGUGUUUGUCCGUGGCCUAUACCCUGGUGCAGGGUGAGAAAGCUAAUGAUGAUGGUCUGCUGUAUCCGAAUCCCAUUCAGCCCAUGCUGGCCCUGACAGUCAGAGCAGCCAACCUCCUAAAAGAUGUAAAUUAUAUCCAUAGAGGCGAAGGAUAAUCAUUACUUUUACUUUAUUUUUCCGAUCCAGCAGCCAUCUGCGUUCGAGAACUUUGUCCUGUGUAAUGAUCAUUACAACCAUUACAGUACAGCUAGAUGUGUUGUUGUUGUAUUCAAGCUCUUCUCAAUACGGUAAGUUUAUCUUUUGGACACUUAGUUCCUUAGAAUACCGGUAUGAUUGAUGAUGACUGAGUAGGUGUUUUAUGGCACUAUCUCCUUUUGAUUGUUUUACGUUCAAUUGAUCAGGUACAUUCUUGAUUUACUGAAUGGUAAACAAUGCAGCUUUAUCAAGGAAAUACAUAUAUGUAUUGUUGCUAUUAGAUGAAAAAGGAAUUAUUCUGUUUGACCAUGCUCUUCGGGAAGCGUAAAAAACAAUCACUCAUUCUUUGUGACACUAGACAUUUGUCAAGUAGGCUACCUGAGUGCAUCAUUUAAAACAAAAUCAGUUAAGCAUACAGCUCAGCAUGCUGUCAUUUUUGGCAAAAAUUGUCUGCUGUAACUAACACUGCAUCUCCCAUGGACAAUAAGAAUACUUUUCUGACUUUGCAGUUCUGGCCACAUGUGUUAAAUCAUACAUUAUAAUCUAUAGUAGAAUAGGUCUUCAUUGAAACAUGGCCUGAUUUACCUAUUCCUACUUUUAUACAGCUUGCGUUGAGUAAAUUACAUGUGAUGUCCUCUGUGUCAACAAAA
rnacentral:lncRNA from 1 species